rnacentral:rRNA from 1 species
UGGAAACAGUGGCUAAGACUGGAUAGGAAGAUAAAAGGCAUCUUUUUAUCUUUUAAAAGACCUAGUAAUAGGUAUGCUUUAGGAGGGGCUUGCGCCAUAUUAGUUAGUUGGUAGGGUAAUGGCCUACCAAGACGAUGAUGUGUAGCUGGACUGAGAGGUUGAACAGCCACAUUGGGACUGAGACACGGCCCAAACUCCUACGGGAGGCAGCAGUAGGGAAUUUUCGGCAAUGGAGGAAACUCUGACCGAGCAACGCCGCGUGAAUGACGAAGUACUUCGGUAUGUAAAGUUCUUUUAUCAAGGAAGAAAAGCAAAUGGCGAACCAUUUGUUUGCCGGUACUUGAUGAAUAAGCCCCGGCUAAUUAUGUGCCAGCAGCCGCGGUAAGACAUAAGGGGCAAGUGUUAUCCGGAAUUAUUGGGCGUAAAGGGUGCGUAGGCGGUCUAGUAAGUCAGUGGUGUAAUGGCAACGCUUAACGUUGUCCGGCUAUUGAAACUGCUAAACUUGAGUUAGAUAGAGGCGAGUGGAAUUCCAUGUGUAGCGGUAAAAUGCGUAAAUAUAUGGAGGAACACCAGAGGCGUAGGCGGCUCGCUGGGUCUUAACUGACGCUGAGGCACGAAAGCGUGGGGAGCAAACAGGAUUAGAUACCCUGGUAGUCCACGCCGUAAACGAUGAGUACUAAGUGUCGGGUUAAACCGGUACUGAAGUUAACACAUUAAGUACUCCGCCUGAGUAGUACGUACGCAAGUAUGAAACUUAAAGGAAUUGACGGGACUCCGCACAAGCGGUGGAUCAUGUUGUUUAAUUCGAAGAUACCCGAAAAACCUUACCAGGUCUUGACAUGUUUUUGCAAAAUGAUAGUAAUAUCGUGGAGGUUACCAGAAACACAGGUGGUGCAUGGUUGUCGUCAGCUCGUGUCGUGAGAUGUUAGGUUAAGUCCUAAAACGAGCGAAACCCUUAUCGUUAGUUGCCAGCACGUUAUGGUGGGGACUUUAACGAGACUGCCAAUGAUAAAUUGGAGGAAGGUGAGGAUCACGUCAAAUCAGCAUGCCCCUUAUGACCUGGGCUACAAACGUGAUACAAUGGCUGUUACAAAGGGUAGCUGAAACGCAAGUUCUUGGCCAAUCCCCAAAAACAGUCCCAGUCCGGAUUGAAGUCUGCAACUCGACUUCAUGAAGUUGGAAUCGCUAGUAAUCGCGAAUCAGCAUGUCGCGGUGAAUACGUUCUCGGGGUUUGUACACACCGCCCGUCAAACCACGAAAGUUGGCAAUA